rnacentral:lncRNA from 10 species
CGCACACACACACUCAUAGCCACACACCACGCAGUGACACACACUCAUAACUACAUACCACACACAACACAUAGCACACACACAUAGCCACACACCACACACACACUCCACAGUGCACACACACACUCAUAGCCACACGCCACACACUCACACACUCUACAGAGCACACACACACUCAUGGACACACACCACACACACAAUCACACACACAUAACCACACACCACACACACUAGACAGAGAACACACACACUCAUAACCACACACCACACACUCACACACUCAACCACUCACACACUAGACACAGCAUAGAGUGUGCACACACACACUCAUAGCCACACACCACGCAGUGACACACACUCAUAACUACAUACCACACACAACACAUAGCACACACACAUAGCCGCACACCACACAUUCACACACACACAUACAUCACACAGCCACGCAUCCUACAUUCACACACAUACCACACAGCACAUACACACUCAUAGCCACACAUCAUACAUUCACACAGACACAUUACACAUAACACACUCACACUCUCAUAGCCACACACUACAUGUUCACACUCACUACACACACUCACACUGUAGCCACACACCACACACACACCACACACGUAUCA